UUUACUCCAAAUUGAAGUGAAAAAAAAAGGCCCUUUCCUCGAGGACUUUUGUGGGUUGCUUCGAGUUUAUGCCACCUCCUUUGUUUGAUGAAAUUUUUAACUUUACAUAAAGUUGACAGUAUGAAGUUACUGCGUGAUUGGUGGAUUUUGGGAGCCAAAUGGACAUCAUAUUCUACUUGUUAUUUGAUGUGAAGGCAUGUUUUUCCAUUAUAAUGUCUUUCUCUAAGAACCCUUUUGACUUGUUUCGCCAUGAUUGUUAGCAUAGCCAGGCUCACAAGGCUUUGCUCUGCGUUUUUCUUUUUCUUUCUUUUAUAAUUACAAACCAUAUGACCAAACAGAAGCCUGCCCAUUUUUAUCUUGCUUUUUGCUCCGUGGUUAUCAUUUGAGUAUUUGUGGAGUAUUCAUGUGAAUCCCCACUCCAUAUUUGGCAUUUGAGUAUUUGUGGAGUAUUCAUGUGAAUCCCCACUCCAUAUUUGGCUUACAACUCAUUUUAUGUAAAUGUAAAAAUGUAAUGGCAGAAAGGUCAAUCUGAAUCUUGAUUUUAAAAAAUCCAGAACUUCAAAAUGCUUAAAACGUCAAUUCAAACCGACCCUUAAUUGACUUUGACGAGCUUAACUCAGCAUUUUGAAUUGGAAUGGUUGGAGCAAUUUGAUAAAAUAAAAUACCGGACAUUCAUUGCUGUUUGGUUUUGAUGGAUUUAGGCUAUUUUAAUCAAUUUGAUAUAGUUUUUGGUUGAUUUGGCAGUUGCCUUCAUCAAUUCCAGUCGAUUUGAAGCUUGAUUUGUCUUCGGCUCUGGGAAUUGGGUAAGAUAUCUGUGUCAAAUUGCAUGAGAACCAAAUUGUAUCUAUAUCUAUAUCUAACUUAACAAGUGUCCAGAAGAGUAAAGACUACAGGUUUAUAGAACAGAGAAGAUCAAUGAAGUAGAAGCCUUUUCAAUUGAUCAGAUUUCCAUUCAUCAUCAAGGAAUGCUGAACAUGAAAAGUUUGUGCUUUAUCUCCCGCUGUCCGCUGUAUGACUUCAGAAAUUUAU
rnacentral:lncRNA from 1 species